CUUCCCUGUCUUGUUCCUGGGCGCAGAGGGCUCCUCCGGCGCCGCCGAGCUGCGCCCGCUGCCUUCACACCCCGGACAUCCGCGCCACACGUGACACCUGCGGAGACAGCCCCCGUAAGGCUCCUGUUCCCGCCCCCUCCCGCCCCAGGGACCCAGACCCCAGGAGGCCUCACCCCACAGCAAGAGAAAGACCACGAGCAUGGACAUGAUGGUCGCGCUCACUCCGGUGCAGUGAGUGUCUGGGUGAUGGAUCCUAGAACCUGUUCUAGAAGGAGACGCUGAGUUCUCCCCACUCUACCUGGAGCUGCUGAGGUCAAGUGGAGAGUGCCGGGGCUGAAGCCCAGCGAGCCCCUCCCUGUCACACCACACUGCACAUGUGACACCAAAGGUGGGGUUCACCUCUUUUCAGACUUUCUGCGGUUGCCCUCACAUGGGCUGUCUGGAGGUGCACCCUCACUCUUCCUGAGGACUGUGGUUCCUUCUCCAUCACUGGUUCAUUCUGCAUGGUGUGACCCACCACGGCUCUGGAGUCGGAUUUCCACCCAGGUCAUUCAGCUGAGACCUGCGCUUCCCAGGCCUACCCGUGACAUGUGCUCAGUUACCUGAGCUGCUGGUGGUCACUCAUGUGGCUAUAGCCUGCUGCCUGGAGGCCAGGCCUCCCGCUUCCCCUGCCUCCCCCUCUCCUCACCACAGCCUGUUGGGAUGGAACAGGACAGGGGUGAGACCGUGGUGCUUUCACACUCAGCCUCCAUGGACAUCCUGUCAUUCCCACCCGGGGAGGUCUGGUCCCCACCCUGGGUGUCCCAGCCUAGCUCCGCUACGAGUGUGAGGGCCCAGGGCAACCGCCUAGCCCUCAUCUGCCCCCUGCACUGCAUCCUCCCCACUCAUUCAUUCCACAGGCAUUUAUUGAGCAUCUACUGUGUGCCAGAUGCAAAGAAGACAGUGGGAUAACUGGG
rnacentral:lncRNA from 10 species